ensembl:lncRNA
CUGGAUGUUCAAACGGUGACAUUUAAACACAAUACACAUUGCAACAGCUGAUGCCUUUUCAAUGUUGCCUCUGCAGCUUAUUUUGAAAAAAAAGUUUAUUAAACAGGAACAAAUCGGUAUUUACAACAAACAUUUCAAUCAUGGCUGUAGCCGAAUGCACGUCUGCGCUCUGCAUCACUCCCACAGUUAUCCUCUUUCACGUAUUCAAACCGGCUGAAACUGCUGCUCCCUGGGAGGAAUGUGUCAUGGGAUAUGUACGCACGGAGCCUCUAUCUUGCGCUAAUGGAAGCAGCUGUUUUGAGUGGCCUAUUUAUGAGCGCUUCAUGUGAGUCAUGGUGGUCUCUCCAAAUGAAUUGGGCUGUAGUGCAGCCAGCAACACAACAGCAAAGCUUUGAAUGCCAACAAGAAAAUAAUAGCAUUUAUUGUUCUAGAAGAGAAGAAAAAAACGCAGUUGUCUCACAAUGCUGGAAAAAGUGUAAUGAGUACAUUUACUUUACUGUACUACCUAAUUCAUUUUGUUUGUGUGAAUCUUUCAUGCAACUCGCUUCGUUGCGUAGCGAGGUGAUCCGCUUCCUGUCACAAAGUCCACCUUGAUCACAAAGUGUUCUCACUAAGUGCUUUCAAGUCGCCUAAUCCCAGCACUCAUUUCAUUUUUCACCUCGUUGGCUUGAGUUUUGCUUUGGUGUGACAUCAAAGAGGCGGCACCACAAACAAGCUGUAAAUUGCCCUUUGGAGUAUUGGGAGAUAACAGUACAAGAUCGCUGCCAAAACGAAUUCAUCCGAGUGAAACUUGGCAGCAGGCCUGUUUCAUCACAGGCACUGCUUUGAAUUCCACCUCCAUACGCGCUGAAGGAAAAUGUACAUCCUGCAAAUCACAAAUGAAAACUUUACUGAUUGUAGGUGUUAGGUUAUCGUUUCCCCUGAAAACAUGAAAACAGCCCAAAAGGAUUGAUGCUCAACAGCAACACUGAAAGAACUGAGAUGAAAUUAAAUUGGACGUAAAGGAUCAGGAACAUCCUGCUUGAACCAAUCUGAACCCUUUAUUUCCCCUCUGCCUUAUGUGACACUUUUCACACGUUACCUCGAUACAGGUACUCUGCUCGACCGUGUGACGGGAUCGUCUAUAAGUUGAAGAGUUCUACUAUGACAUAUCGAACUACAAGAAAACCUCCCAGCCGAGCAGGUUGAACUUCGGGGGAGUUUUCGAAAUGAAUGUGGGUGAAAAUAAAUUAGAAAUGGGCCAACAUUGGUUUCUGUACAUAAUUCUUUAAGCAUCCUUUAAAGGUUAAAAGAAGGGUGGUGUUUGGGGUGUAAGAGGCAACAGGUGCAACAUAUCUCAAAUAUUUAGUAUGUAAUGUUAUCUUUUGAUUUGUGUUUUAUAUGAUAUGACAUGAAUAUUGUGCCAAAUGUGGAAUAGUCUGGAGCCAACUGAUUAGACAUCUAAUGUGACAUAGAAAAGGUCAAAUUGUUUAUUAGUAUAAUGUUAGAGGAGUAGUUGAACAAUUUACUCCCGUAAAUUCCAGACAAUAGAGCGCACCUGAAUAUAAGCGGCACCAAUCAUCAACCAAUCAGAACGCUUGAUUUCAUCUGCCCCGUAUUAUAAAAGAAUAUACGAUACGGGAUAUGAAACAUAACCAGUAGUCGAAGUGCAAGCAGCCAGUUGAAUGGUGAACUUAUGCUACUUAGUUGAAUUCAUAUAUUUGUGAAUCUGACUCAGCCGCCCUUACGGGGUUCAAAGCGUGGGAGAAAAGUAGCGGCUUAUAGUCCGGAAUAUACGGUAAUUAAAAUGAAGCUACAAAGGCUGGUGCUGACCUUUAACCCCAGGUACGGGUUAUUAUUAGAAAACAGCUCCAUCCUGUUUCCCAUUGUGCAAAUAACUAAGUAGUGUCGACCUCUCAGAAACUGCCAAUUCAAUUUCCACGUCUUUCAAACUUUAGCAGUUUUUGCUAAUCAAUUUAUUAAUGAGAUAUUAUAAUAACAAUCAACCAAAAGGUUGUGGAAUUAAACAAUUCAAUUUUUUCUAAUAAAACUAAACAUAAUUUAAGGAGAAAUAGUAUUUUUAAUAUAUAUAAUAGGUAUUCUGAUCAGUUAUAGACAAGUUAUUGUCACUAUUCUUGAUAAAUUACAACAGGCAUCUUUCUAAUAAAAGUCAAAGCCUGACAAAAACGUUUGUCGAAAGCUGUCUUUUUAUAUUUAAAGCAUUGUUGGUGUUCAUUCCUGAAACGCUCACAUUCACCAUGUUGUAUAGUGUGUGAUUGUCCACGUGCAGAAUGUUCAACCCGAGACAAAGUGAUGUACAGAUGGAAGUAAACGUCAGGCGUCGUAGUCCUUUCGCUGGCAGAUGGUGCAGUAUGAACGAACCAGCUGAGCCCAUAUUAUCCUGCAGCGUUCUCCCCCACUCUCCACCUCCACAGCAUCAAAAAUCCCC